GAUCAUAGCUCAGAUUGAACGCUGGCGGCGUGCUUAACACAUGCAAGUCGUACGCGAAAGGGACUUCGGUCCCGAGUAAAGUGGCGCACUGGUGAGUAACACGUGGAUGAUCUGCCUCUAUGAUGGGGAUAACAGUUGGAAACGACUGCUGAUACCGAAUACGCUCAUGAUGAACGUUGUGAGGAAAGGUGGCCUCUGCUUGCAAGCUAUCG
rnacentral:rRNA from 1 species